rnacentral:rRNA from 2 species
UAGCUAAAUGCGGAAGAGAUAAGUGCUGAAAGCAUCUAAGCACGAAACUUGCCCCGAGAUGAGUUCUCCCUGAGACUAUAAGUCUCCUGAAGGAACGUUAAAGACGAUGACGUUGAUAGGCCGGGUGUGUAAGCGCAGCGAUGCGUUGAGCUAACCGGUACUAAUGAACCGUGAGGCUUAACCUU